rnacentral:lncRNA from 1 species
ACCCAUUGGAAAUUUUCUACUACUACUAUAUAUUAAAAGUUCAAACUUGUUUCAUUGAAUAUGAAAGAAACAUGGAAACAUAUGAUGGAUCAUGAUGAAGGUCCAAUUUAUUAGGCUUAAGGAAGGGAUAAAAAAAUAGAUAAAGAAAGACUUUCUCUAACUUGUUCAAAAUCACAAUUGCAUACAAAUUCUCCAGACCUACCAGCG